GAUGAACGCUGGCGGCGUGCUUAACACAUGCAAGUCGAACGAUGAAGCCCAGCUUGCUGGGUGGAUUAGUGGCGAACGGGUGAGUAACACGUGAGUAACCUGCCCUUAACUCUGGGAUAAGCCUGGGAAACUGGGUCUAAUACCGGAUAGGAGCGUCCACCGCAUGGUGGGUGUUGGAAAGAUUUAUCGGUUUUGGAUGGACUCGCGGCCUAUCAGCUUGUUGGUGAGGUAAUGGCUCACCAAGGCGACGACGGGUAGCCGGCCUGAGAGGGUGACCGGCCACACUGGGACUGAGACACGGCCCAGACUCCUACGGGAGGCAGCAGUGGGGAAUAUUGCACAAUGGGCGCAAGCCUGAUGCAGCGACGCCGCGUGAGGGAUGACGGCCUUCGGGUUGUAAACCUCUUUCAGUAGGGAAGAAGCGAAAGUGACGGUACCUGCAGAAGAAGCACCGGCUAUCUACGUG
rnacentral:rRNA from 1 species